UGGAGGACUGAGAAGGUUAAGCAGCUUGUGCUGUUAUAACUGGUUAUGACCUCCAAGAGUAACAUACAAACCACUCAACUGAGCGACUCUGUCAUACACAGAGCUGAUGUGUAGUGUGUUUGUGAACAAAAC